rnacentral:rRNA from 1 species
AGCAGCCGCGGUAAUUCCAGCUCCAAUAGCGUAUAUUAAAGUUGUUGCAGUUAAAAAGCUCGUAGUUGAAUUUCGGGAUCAAUAUAACGGUCAUGCCGUUGGUAUGCACUGUUAUAAUUGAUUUCUCACCUUCUAAAGAACCGUAAUGCCAUUAAUUUGGUGUCACGGGGAAUUAGGACUGUUACCUUGAAAAAAUUAGAGUGUUUAAAGCAGGCUCACGCUUGAAUACAUUAGCAUGGAAUAAUGAAAUAGGACAUCCGAUUCUAUUUUGUUGGUUUCUAGGAUCGAUGUAAUGAUUAAUAGGGAUAGUUGGGGGCAUUAGUAUUCAAUUGUCAGAGGUGAAAUUCUUGGAUUUAUUGAAGACUAACUACUGCGAAAGCAUUUGCCAAGGAUGUUUUCAUUAAUCAAGAACGAAAGUUAGGGGAUCGAAGACGAUCAGAUACCGUCGUAGUCUUUAACCAUAAACUAUGCCGACUAGGGAUCGGAUGAUGUUAAUUUUUAAUGACUCAUUCGGACG